rnacentral:lncRNA from 1 species
UCCUCAUUCAGGUGUCUGUACAUUGGGGAGGUGGCCACUAUCUAGAUAGUAAGGGAUCCAUACUCCCUCUGUCUGGUACCUGAGCCAUCUCAUCCUGUGGUUUCUAAGGUUGACAGAAAAAAAAAAGGAGGAUGGAGAAAGCAUAGCUUUUGAAUUGUGUUGGCUUUCUAGAAUUGACAGAUAUCACUUUUACUCACAGUGCAUUGGCUAGACCUAGUCAUACGGGACCAUCAUAGCCCUCGGGGAGACUGGGAAAUUUAGAGGAGCAUGUGGAACAUUUUGAUAGCACCAAUUGUCUAUACUAAAGGGAGUGAAGAAAUAACCUGUAUUUUUUCUGUCUCAGCAUCCCUUGUCUUCUAAUGUAAUUUAAAAGUUAUAGUAAAGUUUAAAGAAUAAAAUGACGAUCACAUUCCCCCACGCCCUAACUAAACAAGUGUUAAGAUUUUGUCAUAUUUGUCUCCAUUUGUUUAUUUGUAUAAUGGCUAUCAUGAAGCUAUAAUCCAUGUAAUAUGAAGUUUCCCCUUUUAAAGGCAAUGAGUCGAUGGAUUUUGGUAUAGACACAGGUUGUGCAGAUAUAGAAUGUUAGAUCAUUUUUAUGAUCUCCAAGAGAAACACCAUACUUGUUAACAGUCAUUCACUGCUCCCC